rnacentral:rRNA from 1 species
UACGAAGGGGGCUAGCGUUGCUCGGAAUCACUGGGCGUAAAGGGCGCGUAGGCGGCCGGCCAAGUCGGGGGUGAAAGCCUGUGGCUCAACCACAGAAUUGCCUUCGAUACUGUUUGGCUUGAGACCGGAAGAGGUUAGUGGAACUGCGAGUGUAGAGGUGAAAUUCGUAGAUAUUCGCAAGAACACCAGUGGCGAAGGCGGCUGACUGGUCCGGUUCUGACGCUGAGGCGCGAAAGCGUGGGGGAGCAAACAGG